rnacentral:rRNA from 1 species
CCCGCUGAAACUUAAGCAUAUCAAUAAGCGGAGGAAAAGAAACCAACAGGGAUUGCCCUAGUAACGGCGAGUGAAGCGGCAACAGCUCAAAUUUGAAAUCUGGCGUCUUUGGCGUCCGAGUUGUAAUUUGCAGAGGGCGCUUUGGCAUCGGCAGCGGUCCAAGUUCCUUGGAACAGGACGUCACAGAGGGUGAGAAUCCCGUACGUGAUCGCUAGCCUUUACCGUGUAAAGCCCCUUCGACGAGUCGAGUUGUUUGGGAAUGCAGCUCUAAAUGGGAGGUAAAUUUCUUCUAAAGCUAAAUACUGGCCAGAGACCGAUAGCGCACAAGUAGAGUGAUCGAAAGAUGAAAAGCACUUUGGAAAGAGAGUUAAAAAGCACGUGAAAUUGUUGAAAGGGAAGCGCUUGCAGCCAGACUUGCCUGUAGUUGCUCAUCCGGGUUUCUACCCGGUGCACUCUUCUAUAGGCAGGCCAGCAUCAGUUUGGGCGGUUGGAUAAAGGUCUCUGUCAUGUACCUCUCUUCGGGGAGAACUUAUAGGGGAGACGACAUGCAACCAGCCUGGACUGAGGUCCGCGCAUCUGCUAGGAUGCUGGCGUAAUGGCUGUAAGCGGCCCGUCUUGAAACACGGACCAAGGAGUCUAACAUCUAUGCGAGUGUUUGGGUGUCAAGCCCGAACGCGUAAUGAAAGUGAACGGAGGUGGGAACCUUUCGGGGUGCACCAUCGACCGAUCCUGAUGUCUUCGGAUGGAUUUGAGUAAGAGCAUAGCUGUUGGGACCCGAAAGAUGGUGAACUAUGCUUGAAUAGGGUGAAGCCAGAGGAAACUCUGGUGGAGGCUCGCAGCGGUUCUGACGUGCAAAUCGAUCGUCAAAUUUGGGCAUAGGGGCGAAAGACUAAUCGAACUAUCUAGUAGCUGGUUCCUGCCGAAGUUCCCCUCAGG